rnacentral:rRNA from 1 species
ACUUAAGCAUAUCAAUAAGCGGAGGAAAAGAAACCAACAGGGAUUGCCUUAGUAACGGCGAGUGAAGCGGCAACAGCUCAAAUUUGAAAUCUGGCCCUCGGGUCCGAAUUGUAAUUUGUAGAGGAUGAUUUUGGUGCGGUAUCUUCCGAGUUCCUUGGAACAGGACGCCUUAGAGGGUGAGAGCCCCGUACGGUUGAAUGCCUAGCCUCUGUAAAUCUCCUUCGACGAGUCGAGUAGUUUGGGAAUGCUGCUCUAAAUGGGAGGUAAAUUUCUUCUAAAGCUAAAUAUUGGCCAGAGACCGAUAGCGCACAAGUAGAGUGAUCGAAAGAUGAAAAGCACUUUGAAAAGAGGGUUAAAUAGCACGUGAAAUUGUUGAAAGGGAAGGAUUUGUGACCAGACUUUUUCUGGGCGGAUCAUCCGGGGUUCUCUCCGGUGCACUUUGCCCAGUAAAGGCCAGCAUCGAUUUUCGGCGGCGGAUAAAAGCAGUGGGAAUGUGGCUCCCUACGGGGAGUGUUAUAGCCCAUUGUAUAAUACGCUGCUGGGGAUCGAGGUACGCGCUUCUGCAAGGAUGCUGGCGUAAUGGUUAUCAAUCACCCGUCUUGAAACACGGACCAAGGAGUCGAACAUUUAUGCGAGUGUUUGGGUGUUAAACCCUCACGCGUAAUGAAAGUGAACGGAGGUGAGAGCCCGUACGGGUGCAUCAUCGACCGAUCCUGAAGUUUUCGGAUGGAUUUGAGUAAGAGCAUAACUGUUCGGACCCGAAAGAUGGUGAACUAUGCGUGGAUAGGGUGAAGCCAGAGGAAACUCUGGUGGAGGCUCGCAGCGGUUCUGACGUGCAAAUCGAUCGUCAAAUCUGCGCAUGGGGGCGAAAGACUAAUCGAACCAUCUAGUAGCUGGUUACCGCCGAAGUUUCCCUC